ensembl:lncRNA
UCUAUGUGUAUAUAUCACGGAGCAACUGUUUUAAAAUUCGGCUGAAUACUCAAUAUUUCAGGCCUUUUCACCAAGAAUAGCUGACCUUGCUCUUCUGAACACUUCUGCUUGAACACACUUAUCUGUCCUCCUGGGAGAGUAAGAAGAGAUGUAUUAUGACUUCUAAGAGGAAUUUGAAGUAGAGGUUGACUCCAGCAAAGCAAUCUGGAGAGGGAGGAUGCCACUCAUGUCGCCUUGGAACUGCUGAGUAAAAUCAAGAUAAAGAAAAAGGCUACUGCUAUGACAGUGUGUACACAAAAGAUAAAGAAGAAAAAAAAGGAUAUUGUGCCUACCUUAUGAAGUGAUUACAAAGAUAGCUACCAACAGAAUGUUUCUGUAAGCGGUUCUUCAAAGUGUGGACUUGAAGUUUUCUCCCUAACCAGUCGCCAAUACUAUUAAAUCCUUUCCGAAACAAUUAAACUGUUUUAAAACCAGAAAAAGGAGAAGGAGCACGUGAAACCAUCAGGAAGGAAGUUGAAAGAAAUCCAGGGGAAGUUAAAAGCCUAAGUUAACUAUUCCCUGUAAGGAGAAUUAUUUGCUAUAGGAUAUUUUGGAUAAAGAAAUUUAUGUGGACUAAAAAAGUGACUGCACGAAUAUAUGGAGUGACUAUUAAAAAUAAAAACACCACCUCUUGCUGAGAAAGACUCUGAAUCUUGAAAACUAAGUCAAUAUUCUCAGGAAGUAUCGCUUUACAUUUAACCUGUUGUUUCCCUCUGCUCUAGACACCAUAACUGGCUGCUGGGUGCUUCUGCAGAGAGGUCACUUGGCUCAAGAUUCAUUUGGUCUAUACUAAAAUAUCUUAUACAUAUCAGCAUGGUCUAACUGUUGAUAAGUUCAAAAAUAUAAUGCAUAUGUAUUUAAUGACAUACAAAGUCAUUCACCACUUGCACAAAGCUUAAACCAGCACAACCCCGGGAUAUGACUUACUACAUUACAGUAAACAAUGAAGGAAUUGAAUUCUAGGCACUGUUUGCAAUAGACACAAGUGAAAAGGUGCAGAGUGGUUAUUCUGUGGUCUACAGCUUUCUGUUGCCAGAUUCUACUGUUUGUGUCUCUUAACUAAUCACUAUAUAUGUCAGUUUAAGAUUACUUUAAGGAGCAGAAUAACUCAGUAUGUUUUUCCAGUAAGAAAAUUGCUAUGUGUCCACAGUGUGGCAGUGUCUAGGUACAGAUAUGUCCUGCAUAAGUGCAAAAUAUUCUCAGUCAAUUUCACAGUCACAUCUCUUGCUAUAUUUCAUCUGUUGUUCCUUUUUUUCUCCUGUCUUCCUUUCUCUGUAAUAAAUUGAUCCAAGUGUAUUCUGCAGCUGUCAACCUACCUUUGCUGAAAUUUAAAACUUAUGAAAAAUAUUUUAGUUACUGUAUGUUCUGGACAUUUGAGAAAAUAUAUUAAACUACAACUUUGCUUUCUACUUUCA